UGGGCGUAGAGGGCUCGCAGGCGGUUUCUUAAGUCUGAUGUGAAAGCCCCCGGCUCAACCGGGGAGGGUCAUUGGAAACUGGGGAACUUGAGUGCAGAAGAGGAGAGUGGAAUUCCACGUGUAGCGGUGAAAUGCGUAGAGAUGUGGAGGAACACCAGUGGCGAAGGCGACUCUCUGGUCUGUAACUGACGCUGAGGAGCGAAAGCGUGGGGAGCGAACAGGAUUAGAUACCCUGGUAGUCCACGCCGUAAACGAUGAGUGCUAAGUGUUAGGGGGUUUCCGCCCCUUAGUGCUGCAGCUAACGCAUUAAGCACUCCGCCUGGGGAGUACGGUCGCAAGACUGAAACUCAAAGGAAUUGACGGGGGCCCGCACAAGCGGUGGAGCAUGUGGUUUAAUUCGAAGCAACGCGAAGAACCUUACCAGGUCUUGACAUCCUCUGACGAUCCUAGAGAUAGGACGUCCCCUUCGGGGGCAGAGUGACAGGUGGUGCAUGGUUGUCGUCAGCUCGUGUCGUGAGAUGUUGGGUUAAGUCCCGCAACGAGCGCAACCCUUGAUCUUAGUUGCCAGCAUUCAGUUGGGCACUCUAAGGUGACUGCCGGUGACAAACCGGAGGAAGGGGGGGAUGACGUCAAAUCAUCAUGCCCCUUAUGACCUGGGCUACACACGUGCUACAAUGGACAGAAC
rnacentral:rRNA from 1 species